GAUGAACGCUGGCGGCGUGCCUAAUACAUGCAAGUCGAGCGAACAGACGAGGAGCUUGCUCCUCUGACGUUAGCGGCGGACGGGUGAGUAACACGUGGAUAACCUACCUAUAAGACUGGGAUAACUUCGGGAAACCGGAGCUAAUACCGGAUAAUAUAUUGAACCGCAUGGUUCAAUAGUGAAAGAAGGUUUUGCUGUCACUUAUAGAUGGAUCCGCGCCGCAUUAGCUAGUUGGUAAGGUAACGGCUUACCAAGGCAACGAUGCGUAGCCGACCUGAGAGGGUGAUCGGCCACACUGGAACUGAGACACGGUCCAGACUCCUACGGGAGGCAGCAGUAGGGAAUCUUCCGCAAUGGGCGAAGGCCUGACGGAGCAACGCCGCGUGAGUGAUGAAGGUCUUCGGAUCGUAAAACUCUGUUAUUAGGGAAGAACAAAUGUGUAAGUAACUAUGCACGUCUUGACGGUACCUAAUCAGAAAGCCAUGGCUAACUACGUGCCAGCCGCCGCGGUAACAC
rnacentral:rRNA from 1 species